UGGACAGGUCUGCGCUGUGGGUCUGCAUAUACCAGGGUCACUUCCAGGAGACGAUCUCUCUUCAAAGGCAGUGGAAGGGUUAAGUAACAGAAGGGAUCAAAGGUCACAGAAACCUUGGAGCAUUUGGGACAAACAAGGGUAGACUUGAAAAGACCAUGAAAAAUAUCCACAAUGAUAGAAUCGUUUCUCAGUCUGUGGUUCUCCCAGGCUUCUUUUGCUACCACCGAAUCGGGCCUGCCAUUGGCAU
rnacentral:lncRNA from 1 species